GCCACGUGGUAAUAUAUGACCUUUUAUUUUGAGAAAUCUCGAAAUUUCUUCAACUUCUUCAAGAGGAUUUCAGUACUAUCUACUCUUUUCUACUCUUUAGUUUUUACUCUUUCGUCUUUGCAUCGCCGCGCAUUUCAAUUCUCAGAAUCUGGUGUUUUCAGUGGUAGCAUAUACAUGAGAGGAUCAGCUUCUCCGCGUUCAUUGGCGCGAAGUAUUCAGAAACAAGCAUACCAAAUCCAACGAGCAUGGGGUGGUAUUGCUCCUACUUUGGAGCCCAAAAAGAAUGGCAAUGAAGAGAGUUGUAAGGCAAGGAGAACGGUGUCAGAUGAGAAAGGUGCUGACCCUAUUGUAGCCUUCAGCAGGCCGCCUCCGCUUCCGCCCAUUUUAGGACCGCUUGUUGCCCUCUCUUUUCUGGAUACGUUGUCGAAACAGGACAACAACGACGACUGAGAUUUAUUUCAGGGCAAACUGCUUGGCCCUUGCUCGGAUUCCAAGUUUGAGGUAUCUUUAUCAUUGUCAUUUGAUGAUGAGUGUUUAUUGAAAAAUCUUGCAAUGAUGUGCAGAAAGCUUAUCCCGUAUCCAAGUGUUCGAGCAACAAUUCUCCAUAGGGUGAUGUAGAAUGUUAGAACUGGGUUCACCACCGGAGCUAAGCAUAGAUUGUAUAUAUUCAACACUGCUUUGAGUAUGAUGUGUGGACUCUUUAGGAACCCUAAAUGUGUCACAUAUGUGUAAAAGAUUACAAAGAGCUUUGACCUUCUUCCCCUGGAUAAUAUAGGGGAAAGUUGAAUCCUCAAGGCGACAGUUGCUGGAGAUGAGAUCUUCUAGCCCCUUCCUGUCGCCUUCAUUGAUGCACCUGUAAAAUUUCUUCACAACAUCUGACAAGGAAAGAAUCUCAAAGCUGGACUCCGAGUUCGCUGCUACUGCUGGAGGUGUGAUCUGGGGCCUCCACCGGUGGCUGAUGACAUAUUUUCCUGCAUUUCUUGUUCCAAAAAUAGGUUCAGGGACAACUUCCUUUCCUCUGGGUAUUUGUAGGUUUCUCCUGUAGAUUGGUGAUCUUACAUUGGUUAGGGCAGUUAGGUUGAAGCGACAACGAUAAGGUAUGUUUUGGCAGGGAAAAACAGCGGCGAAGGCCAUUGUUUGUUACAAAUUAAGGGGGUUGCACAAGAGAAAUGUUCUUUCUUUCUGGUAGUGGGAAAUGUAUAAUGGCAGGGAAGAGGAAGGCAUCAAUAAUAUGUCUUCUGCCUUAAUAUUGGAAAGUAAAAGCUAAAAAAUUUAUAUGGUAUAUGUAUGAUAGAGUCAGAAGAGAAAUGUUCUUUGUUUCUGGCACAAGGAACUGUAAAAUGGCAGAGGGAGGAAGGCAUCAAUAAUAUAUUUUCUGCCUUAUAAUGUAAGGUAGGUAUAGGAUUUCAUGCCAUUGUUGGAUGACUCUUUCUUAUUAUACAGGGCUUAAAUUC